rnacentral:rRNA from 1 species
UACGGAGGGGGCUAGCGUUGUUCGGAAUUACUGGGCGUAAAGCGCACGUAGGCGGCUUUGUAAGUUAGAGGUGAAAGCCCAGGGCUUAACCCUGGAAUUGCCUUUAAGACUGCAUCGCUAGAAUCGUGGAGAGGUGAGUGGAAUUCCGAGUGUAGAGGUGAAAUUCGUAGAUAUUCGGAAGAACACCAGUGGCGAAGGCGACUCACUGGACA